UUUUGUUUUUCCAGUAUUCAUGUAAUUAAGGUCUUUUUAUUUGAAGUUGAAAAACAUUGUAUCAAUGUCUAUUGUGUGUAGAAGCAAUGACUCUGUUGUAAUAUACAUGUAGUUAAUCUAGAUAAGUUUGAGUAUAUUUUAUUUGUUUAUGAACUAUAAGAUGUAAUCUUAUAAUCCAUUAUGUCAAUGGCAGAGAGAGAGAGAGAGAGAGAGAGAGAGAGAGAGAGUCCUUACUAAAUUUUGUAAAUCUAUAUAUUUUCAAUUGUAUCAACAUAUGUUCAUAAAUAAUAGCGUAUCAUAUUCCAGAUACUAAUCAUGAUCAGAAAAUCCAUGUACGAUGUAUGUAAUGUUUAUAUGUGUGAUAUUUCUUAAUUGUUUUUCUCCAAAAAUGAAACAAUGAAUUAUUGUAAUAAUACAAUUGAUGAUUUGCAAAAAUGCUGUGAUAAAAUUUGCUAGAU
rnacentral:sRNA from 1 species